rnacentral:Y_RNA from 1 species
GGCACAAAUGCCGGAGGAAUUACAGCCUAGUGAAGCUCGAGGUCGCGGGUUCGAGUCCCGUCUCUGCCGCCACGAUGGCAGAGUAGCUCAGAUGGAUAGAGCGCGUAACAUUUCUCCACCUCUUGUUGUGAAAGG